GGCACCAUGGCUUACCUUGCUAAAGCAGCUACCUCAUAAACAGGAGAUCUGGGGUUCAAAUCCCAGUGGUGCCU
rnacentral:tRNA from 1 species